rnacentral:lncRNA from 1 species
GAGCCGCGCGAACGCGAACGGGGCGAGGGAGUGGAGCAGGAAGAGCGCGGAGGCGGCCAGCGUGGGCAGCGCGAGGUGGUGCGCGGAGAGCAGCGCCGAGAGGAGGCAGAGCGCGGACAGCAGCGCGGCGAGGAUGUGACGGCCGUGCGGCGGCGCGGAGAGGCGGCGCGGGAGGAGCGGGAGGCGCGGCUGGAGCGCCUCCAGCGCCGCCAGGGCCAGGAGGCCCAGCCCGGCGCCCGAGUAGGCGAGGAGGCCCGGCAUGCGUGCCGGGUGCUUCGGCCGGCGAUGGAUCUGAGCUGGGGGGCGGGAGGGGGCGUGGCCCGGCUGGCGGCGACUGGUAGUUGGUAUUGGUAAGGGGUGAUCGGAUCGGCGCGGGAGUCAGCGGCGGUUGGGUUGGGU